rnacentral:rRNA from 1 species
GAUGAACGCUGGCGGCGUGCCUAAUACAUGCAAGUCGAGCGAACAGAUGAGGAGCUUGCUCCUCUGACGUUAGCGGCGGACGGGUGAGUAACACGUGGAUAACCUACCUAUAAGACUGGGAUAACUUCGGGAAACCGGAGCUAAUACCGGAUAAUAUAUUGAACCGCAUGGUUCAAUAGUGAAAGACGGUUUUGCUGUCACUUAUAGAUGAAUCCGCGCCGCAUUAGCUAGUUGGUAAGGUAACGGCUUACCAAGGCAACGAUGCGUAGCCGACCUGAGAGGGUGAUCGGCCACACUGGAACUGAGACACGGUCCAGGCUCCUACGGGAGGCAGCAGUAGGGAAUCUUCCGCAAUGGGCGAAAGCCUGACGGAGCAACGCCGCGUGAGUGAUGAAGGUCUUCGGAUCGUAAAACUCUGUUAUUAGGGAAGAACAAAUGUGUAAGUAACUAUGCACGUCUUGACGGUACCUAAUCAGAAAGCCACGGCUAACUACGUG